rnacentral:sRNA from 1 species
GGGACAACAGGACAUCCUUAAGACUGGAAUAAAAAACGGAGGUGAUGAAUCCGUAUGAAUGCACUUCCCGCCUACAAUCUUUCGGAUCAGGGCUUGGAUUCCAUUUCUCAGAGGAUAUCUUUUGCGAACAGGCGGGGUGAGAAGUAUCCCAAGAGCCGCCAUGCGAUUCGUGGUGAACCACCUAUCGCCCAUCCUUUGACCUCGCUCUUGACUGAAACCUAACGAACUCCACAAGAAAUCAUGGACAGCAUGACCGGGGUAUAUAAAUAACGCGUUCGUUCGCGUCUUGAUAUACCCGAAGCACGAAGAGUUAACUAUGCAAUUAAUGUUGGCGAAGUUUCGUCAGCUUUUGAGAAAAAGUAGUGGCGACCGUCCUUCUGGCGAGAUGCGAGAGGCAAGCUGCAAGCCUACCAUGUUUCUCUCCACCUUGACUGGAGGAUGUGAACAUCCAGGUCCGAAUCACGCUCCGCUCAGCUUGCGUCUCACUCGAUGUUUUAAUUUCCAGGCC